GGUUGAUCUUGCAAAUGCCUUUUUCAGCGUGCCCUUGGAUCCCUCUUGCUUUCAUAAAUGACCAUCAACAGUAUACAUGGACUGUCAUGCCUCAAGGUGCACAAAAUUCCCCAACCCAAUUCGCAAAAGCUAUACUAGAACCCUGGCAGAAGUCCCACCCAGACGUGGUCCUGCUCCAGUAUGUAGAUGAUUUACUUCUCUGUGC